rnacentral:rRNA from 1 species
AGUGAACGCUGGCGGUAGGCCUAACACAUGCAAGUCGAACGGCAGCACAGUAAGAGCUUGCUCUUACGGGUGGCGAGUGGCGGACGGGUGAGGAAUACAUCGGAAUCUACUUUUUCGUGGGGGAUGACGUAGGGAAACUUACGCUAAUACCGCAUACGACCUACGGGUGAAAGCAGGGGAUCUUCGGACCUUGCGCGAUUGAAUGAGCCGAUGUCGGAUUAGCUAGUUGGCGGGGUAAAGGCCCACCAAGGCGACGAUCCGUAGCUGGUCUGAGAGGAUGAUCAGCCACACUGGAACUGAGACACGGUCCAGACUCCUACGGGAGGCAGCAGUGGGGAAUAUUGGACAAUGGGCGCAAGCCUGAUCCAGCCACACCGCGUGGGUGAAGAAGGCCUUCGGGUUGUAAAGCCCUUUUGUUGGGAAAGAAAAGCAGCAGGUUAAUACCCCGCUGUUCUGACGGUACCCAAAGAAUAAGCACCGGCUAACUUCGUG